AUGAACGCUGGCGGCGUGCCUCAUACAUGCAAGUCGAGCGAACAGACGAGGAGCUUGCUCCUCUGAUGUUAGCGGCGGACGGGUGAGUAACACGUGGAUAACCUACCUAUAAGACUGGGAUAACUUCGGGAAACCGGAGCUAAUACCGGAUAACAUGUUGAACCGCAUGGUUCAACAGUGAAAGACGGUUUUGCUGUCACUUAUAGAUGGAUCCGCGCCGCAUUAGUUAGUUGGUAAGGUAACGGCUUACCAAGGCAACGAUGCGUAGCCGACCUGAGAGGGUGAUCGGCCACACUGGAACUGAGACACGGUCCAGACUCCUACGGGAGGCAGCAGUAGGGAAUCUUCCGCAAUGGGCGAAAGCCUGACGGAGCAACGCCGCGUGAGUGAAGAAGGUCUUCGGAUCGUAAAACUCUGUUAUUAGGGAAGAACAAAUGUGUAAGUAACUAUGCACGUCUUGACGGUACCUAAUCAGAAAGCCACGGCUAACUACGUG
rnacentral:rRNA from 1 species